CCUACGGGAGGCAGCAGUGAGGAAUAUUGGUCAAUGGCCGGGAGGCUGAACCAGCCAAGUCGCGUGAGGGAAGACGGCCCUACGGGUUGUAAACCUCUUUUGUCAGGGAGCAAGGUGCAGGUCGGGACCUGCUGUGAGAGUACCUGACGAAAAAGCAUCGGCUAACUCCGUGCCAGCAGCCGCGGUAAUACGGAGGAUGCGAGCGUUAUCCGGAUUUAUUGGGUUUAUAGGGUGCGCAGGCGGAGGCACAAGUCAGCGGUAAAAUCGCGGGGCUCAACCCCGCUCCGCCGUUGAAACUGUGGCCCUUGAGUGCGCGAAGGGUAGGCGGAAUGCGUGGUGUAGCGGUGAAAUGCAUAGAUAUCACGCAGAACUCCGAUCGCGAAGGCAGCCUACCGGAGCGCAACUGACACUCAUGCACGAAAGCGUGGGUAUCGAACAGGAUUAGAUACCCUUGUAGUC
rnacentral:rRNA from 1 species